rnacentral:lncRNA from 10 species
CCCAGAGCUCUCCAUUGGGCGUCGCUCCCGGGGUCCCGCGCGCCGGCCGUGCUGAUUGGCCGCUGGGGCUUCAUUCACGGCCCCCCUACCGUCCGCGUACACACUCACGCCCCGGGGGCGCGGCCGCCACGUGGGGAGUGGCGCGGGGGUGGCCCUGGGACCGCACCCCCUCUCGUCCUGGCUGUGUGGGCCCCGCUUUCCCCCAGCGCUGGAGACUCCGAGCCCGGCCGGUCCCACAUUCCACGCGAGCUGAAUUCCCGCCCGCAUCCCGCCCGGGCAGCAGGGAUUGCCGGCUCCGGGAGGCGCUCGGGCUCCGAGAAGCGGCUCAGCCCCGCGCCCCUCCCUCCUCAGUACCGCUGCCGGCGGACCAGGAUUCCCGCGGGUCCUGGCGGCUGCGAGCGCGAGGCGGCGCGGAUUCGCGGCUCGGUUCCGGCGCGACUGCUCACCGCGCCCGCCUCGCCUCCCGCGGCUGCCAGCGUGCACUGGGCGCUCCUCGGCGCGUCUGCCCGGCCCGUCUCGGCUUUCCUUCUCCUUCCUCUAGUCCCAGCGUCACAACUCCGCCGACCUCCUCUGCCCUGAGAGCGCGUCCGGUGCGGGCGGAGUCGGACGGACUCUGGCUUCACGCCUCGCGCGGGCACACCUUCUCCCGGGCACUGAGGCCCAGUUAUUAGGGGAGGCAGAGUCCUUCUGGAGUUUGACCCUUGGAUUCCAUCCAGAGCAGCCUCCAAAAUGACACCUUUGAAGUUGUGUAUCGAGCUGGGGGAUGUAAAGGGAGGAGAAGAAAGAAGAUGAAGAGAUACCAGCCAGCCUUAAGGAGUGGACAUCCUGCCUGGUGAAACUGAACAAGACACCUACCGCAUAUGGAGUUUCGCUCUGUCGCCCAGGCUGGAGUGCAGUGGUGCCAUCUCGGCUCACCGCAACCUCCACCUCCAGGUUCAAGUGAUUCUCCUGCCUCAGCCUCUCAAGUAGCUGGGAUUACAGGAGCCCUCUCCCACCGCUCCUACACUGCUGGUAAAAGGCAGCCGCACUGCCUGCUGGAAGACCUGCCAGCUUGGGCUUCAGAGCACUUCUGCCUCAGAUCCACGACGAUCCCUUCUGUCAUCGUGGGACCUUUCCUGGGAUUUGAUUUAGGGCGACGCUUCCUCCUGUCUGUGUCCUGAGUCCUGCCUUCCCUGGCUGGUCCUCUUUGCUUAGUCACCCAGAUCAUUCCCAGACAGCUGCGCCCUGGAUAUGGCUCCUCUCAUGUGCUGCCUGGAAAUGUCUCCUCUCUUCUCACCUGCUGAGAGGUCCUUCUGGGCAGGGACUCGGGCAGAUUCAUUCCUGCCUGCCCCACAUUUCCCUAGCCCAGGGCCUGGCCCGUUGCAGUGCUGAAGGAUGAUUCUGGUAAGAAACAAGGUACUCCAGCUCACAUCUUGCAAUGAUUAUGCCUCCCCCACUCUCCCUUCUCCUUGCAGUUCUCUCUCUUCACUGAUGAUUUUGGAUGCAAUUUAAAAUAAAAAUAUUGAUUAAAAAUGGAAACUAUAUAAAUAAAAAUAAAAACACUUAACAUCAAUGUGUCAUUUGAGCUUUAACAUAAAGAGAAAACAUGUGAAGGUGACAAUUUGUGGACAAUUCCAAAUUAGCAUGAAGUUCUCAGCUGGUAAGUAUCUUGACUUUUUUCCCCUCUCUUGGGGUCUGUGGAAUCCUGACCAGGCAUGUGGUGCAGUAGAAUGGGAGGAACUUGGCUUCGGCCUUGAUAAGCCUGGGUUGAAUCUUCCACUUAUGGGCUUUCUGAAGCUCAGUUUCCUUAUCUGUGUAAUGGGGAGAAAGACCCUACUUCAUGGCGUGAUUGUGAGGCUGAUAGAAAAGGGCACACAGGGGCCAGGCCCAGUGGCUCAUGCCUGCAAUCCCAGCACUUUGGGAGG